rnacentral:tRNA from 1 species
GCGAAGGUGGCGGAAUUGGUAGACGCACCAGACUUAGGAUCUGACGCCGCGAGGCAUGAGGGUUCGAGUCCCUCCCUUCGCACCA